rnacentral:rRNA from 1 species
UGAUCACAGAAGUUAAGCAGCAUUGAGACUGGUCAGUACUGUGAUGGGUGACCACUUGGGAAUACCAAGUGCUGUAAG